rnacentral:rRNA from 1 species
GAAUAUUGGACAAUGGGCGAAAGCCUGAUCCAGCAAUGCCGCGUGUGUGAAGAAGGCCUGCGGGUUGUAAAGCACUUUUGCCAGGGAAGCACAGUGAGGCGCUAAUACCGUUUCACACUGACGGUACCUGGAGACUACGCACCGGCUAACUUCGCGCCAGCAGCCGCGGUAAUACGAAGGGUGCAAGCGUUAAUCGGAAUUACUGGGCGUAAAGCGUGCGUAGGCGGCGCGUUAAGCCUGAUGUGAAAUCCCUGGGCUCAACCUGGGAAUGGCAUCGGGGACUGGCGGGCUAGAGUUUGGGAGAGGGUGGUGGAAUUCCCGGUGUAGCGGUGAAAUGCGUAGAGAUCGGGAGGAACAUCUGUGGCGAAGGCGGCCACCUGGCCUAAAACUGACGCUGAGGCACGAAAGCGUGGGGAGCAAACAGG